CGCACUAGUUGGGGAGUUAGCGGUGCCCUGUACCUGCAAUCCGCUGUAGCGGGGAUGAAUCCCGGCCCCCGGACUUUUCUUGUGUUGUCUGCCCCUGGUAAGCAGUGAUGAUAGUUCGGUCCUGCGCAACGCCGCACCGUGAACCGUGUCAGGCGGGGAACCGAGCAGCACUAAGCGGACCGCUGCGUGUGCCGCGGGGAUGCCGAGCUUGAGCCGGCUGCCUUGGUUACGGACAUAAGGAAAGCUUCA
rnacentral:SRP_RNA from 1 species